CGUGGGGAAGGAAGUAAAAUGUGCCUGUCUACCGUUUUCAUUUCUCAAUUAGAAGCCCCAGGGCCCUCGCCCAACCAAUGAAGUACAGGUAUAUAUGAACAAGAAGAAACAGUGCAGUAUGCACAGGCUCCUGACCAUCUGUGGCUUCCAGAUCUUUCGUAGGGGAUGGACUUUGCUGUCACAGCAGAGACUACCAGUAGCCCAUGCUUACUCACAUCAGGUCAGCUUGUCUGGCCCCCCUCCCCCGCCCCCCCAUCACGGCCUGAUGGACUGACACACUGGAUUGGCAUGCCUACUCCUUGAGCUGACCACAGGUUCCAGGUGAUAGAAGAAUGAUCUUUGACCAAGCCUGGGCUAGCCUAGAGCUCAUGAGGUAGCCCAGGGUAGCCCUGGAGCUCAUGGCAGACCUACUGAUUCUGGGAUUAGGGGUGUGAGCCGCUCUACCCUCUGGCUCUCCUCUUCUUUUUAAAUCAAUGAAAUAACGUUUAAUAUUUUGACUAUUUGGCAAACAUUAUAUUUUGGUCAUUUAUACCCCCAUUUUCCUCUCUUAUCAUCUUCCCACUCCCGUUGAACCCCUUCUUUCCAGGUCCUCCUAUUUUCAUGUCUUCUUAUCCACUGAGUUUAGAGUUACUUGCAUGGCUGUGAGGUUAUAUACAGGUCACGGGCAACUUAAGAAAAUGACUUGUCCCUCCUCUCUCUCCAACCAGGAGGAGUGUGGCCUUGUGUGCCUCCCCCUCCCCCAGUCAAUGCUGGAAGACAACAUGUUGAGCCUUGUGCAGGCCUUGUGUUAAGUCCCUGGGUACCACACAUCACCAAAGGCAGCAUUUCACAGCACCCUUCCCAUCCCCCACCACUUACAUUCUUUCUGAUCACUCUUCCGCUAUGUUCCCUGGCCUGUUCCUCUAUCCUGAUAGAGACAUCCUGUUUAGGGAUGAAGACCAGGAUGGUUUGCAUAUGCUCAGCCCAGGGAGUGGCGCUAUUAGAAGGUGUGACCUUUUUGGAGUAGGCAUGGCACUGUGGAUGUGGACUUUAAGACCCUCAGCCUAGCUGCCUGGAAUUCAGGAUUCUGAUAGCAGCCUUCAGAUGAAGAUGUAGAACUCUCAGCUCCUCCUGCACCAUGCCUGCCUGGACGCUACCAUGCUCAUGCCUUGAUGAUAAUGGACUGAACCUCUGAACCUGUAAGCCAGCCCCAAUUAAAUGCUGUCCUUUGUAAGACUUGCCUUGGUCAUGGUAUCUGUUCACAACAGUAAAACCCUGACUAAGACAAAGACUCAACAGUCCCUUAUCCUCAGCUCUUGGCCCAGUUACUGGUCAGCGUUAACCACGGUCUGCUGCAGACAGAUGCUCAGGCUGGGAUAGCACUAACCUGUGAGUAUGAGCAUAACUGUUUAGAAGGCAGCUGGGCACCAUCUUGAUUGUUAGAUAGUCUUGUUAUGUCACCUUAACUAGCCUGGUACACAGUGUAUAAGCCAUCCUAGCCCCAAACUUGUAGUCAUUCUCCUGCCUCAGACUCUCUCUUUCUCUCUAUGGGGACACUAACCAAUCAUGGAGACUCCUCAUCUAAACCUAAUCACCCCUGUUCACUGCACCUCCAUCUACCAUUGUACUUGGCAGUUCUACUUAGGAUCUCACCGUAUGACUUUGUGGGGAU